UGCGAGCGUUAAUCGGAAUUACUGGGCGUAAAGGGUGCGUAGGGGGUUUGAUAAGUUAGGUGUGAAAGUCCUGGGCUUAACCUGGGGAUUGCGCCUAAUACUGUUGAGCUAGAGUACUGUAGAGGAAAGUGGAAUUUCCGGUGUAGCGGUGAAAUGCGUAGAUAUCGGAAGGAACAUCAGUGGCGAAGGCGACUUUCUGGACAGAUACUGACACUGAGGCACGAAAGCGUGGGGAGCAAACAGG
rnacentral:rRNA from 1 species